GCGAGGUGCGUCGUCUGGUGACGACACCGGUCUUACAAGCCGUUCGAGCUGGGUUCGAUCCCCUGACCUCGUA
rnacentral:tRNA from 1 species